GCUGCUCUGGCUUUGCACUCCUGCCAGGUUGGUCUCUGUGGGAGCCAAAGAGCAAAGAGCCUCUCCAGCAUAAAGCAGGCAUUAUGAAUGCAUCUGUUUCGCCAGCUCAGCACGGCAGCGUGACUAGAGAUAAAUAUUUUUGGCAAACAGUAUAGCAGGUGCUGUUACCAUGUAGGGACGCAGUAGUGCUUGAGCAACACAAGUAAGUUACUUGGACUUUGGAAAUCAAGAGCCAUAACAUCAAGGGAUGAUGGAUGGCAGCAAAGAAUGAGGCUCUUCCUUUUUCAAAAGACUGACAGCUUCUCUUCUUGAGGAACGAUAGUGCUACUGCCAAGGGCAUCUGCUCCAAGCCUUCUGCUCAUUGCUCCAGCUUCCAAAGUGCCAGCACACACCCCCUACCACAAGCCUUUCCAAAAGAGAAAAGUGAUUUUAUUUUUCAUGGUUUCUGCAUGCAAGAGGUGGAGGGGAAAGAGAACAAAGGAAGAAAAGUGAGUCCGGAAGUGAAGAGACCGGGACAUCUGGAGGAGAAGUAAAAAGCUUAUUUUCUUCAGAGGAAGAAUAUAUCUUCUUCAUUUUCCCUUUUUAAAAUUCUUUCCCUGUGUGGUCUUCUUGUUUAUUUUUUUACCUUAAUUUUGUAUUCGAUUUUUUUCUGAAAAUUUGGAAGAAUUUUUUUUCUGGUGAUUACAUUCCUAUCUAUGACUUUACAGAAUACAUUUAAUCCUCUUUUUCUUUCAAGGAAUAGAAGGCUUUUUUAGAGUUAUUAAGGUUAGAAAUCGUUCCUUUGUGGUUUGUCCUGCAGGC
rnacentral:lncRNA from 12 species